AGCUAAAUGUUUGGAAUUUUUUGGUAGCUAUGAUGACCAGACAUUCUGCAUUGCAAUAACAAUAGAUAUGUAUUUAUUGAGUACUUAUGUAAUAGGAGUGGAGCAAGCAUGCAGCCGUUAGUCUGUAAUUCUUAUCAGGAGACCUUGAGCGUGGCCAACAGUCAGUGUCCCAGUGGUCCUUGUGGCAGAGAGUGCAGAUUAAGGCCUUCUCCCUGGGGCCCUCUAGGCCCCCCAGCCUCCGGGCCAGUGGAUGAGCUGGGCAGCCUGGGGACAGGCUGAGGGCUGGAUCCUGAAGAGCUCCAGAGUCCUCACCGUAGCUGGGCACAGGCCUGGAAGCAGCAGCGAACCUUUUCCGCAAACCCACAGUCCAUGGAGGCCUCAGCAACUGGAGUGUACGGACAUGGCCUUUAAGGAUCCUGAGGCUGAAACAGACUGACUAUUGCAGUGGAACUCUCUUAGGGAAGGGUCCAAGGUGAGGAGUGCGUGUGAUGUGUGUGUGUGUCUCUUUUUACCUUUUUUUCUAGACUUUUAUUUCCUUGUCACAGUUGCUGCCUGUCUGGAAGACAGCCCCUCCUUUAAGCAUCUUCCAAGUGGCUGAUAGUAUGUAGCUAUUCAUGGAGUCCUAUUUACCAGAAUAGGAUAUGACAGAUCCUAGGUCAAUAAAUCCAGACUUAGGGCUAGAAAACUGUAGCUA
rnacentral:lncRNA from 1 species